UGAUGCUUAGCGGCGGACGGGUGAGUAACACGUAGGCAACCUGCCCUCAAGUUUGGGACAACUACCGGAAACGGUAGCUAAUACCGAAUAAUUGUUUUCUUCGCCUGAAGGAAACUGGAAAGACGGAGCAAUCUGUCACUUGGGGAUGGGCCUGCGGCGCAUUAGCUAGUUGGUGAGGUAACGGCUCACCAAGGCGACCAUGCGUAGCCGACCUGAGAGGGUGAUCGGCCACACUGGGACUGAGACACGGCCCAGACUCCUACGGGAGGCAGCAGUAGGGAAUCUUCCGCAAUGGGCGAAAGCCUGACGGAGCAAUGCCGCGUGAGUGAUGAAGGUUUUCGGAUCGUAAAGCUCUGUUGCCAGGGAAGAACGCUUGGGAGAGUAACUGCUCUCAAGGUGACGGUACCUGAGAAGAAAGCCCCGGCUAACUACGUGCCAGCAG
rnacentral:rRNA from 1 species